GGAUAACCUGCCCUAUCGUCUGGAAUAACCUCGGGAAACUGAGAAUAAGGCCGGAUAGUUCACAAAGCCUGGAACGGUUUGUGAAUCAAGGUAGGAUGGGUCUGCGGCGUAUCAGGUAGUAGGGGGUGUAAAGGACCCCCUAGCCUUCGACGCGUACGGGUGUUGGGAGACAUAGCCCGGAGAUGGAUUCUGAGACACGAAUCCAGACCCUACGGGGUGCAGCAGGCGCGAAAACUUCACACUGCAGGAAACUGUGAUGAGGGAACUCCAAGUGUGUGCACUAUGUGUACACUUUUAUGGACUUUUAAUCGGUUCAGGAAUAAGGGCUGGGAAAGACCGGUGCCAGCCGCCGCGGUAAUACCGGCAGCUCAAGUGGUCGUCGCUUUUAUUGGGCCUAAAACGUCCGUAGCCUGUUUGGUAAAUCUGUGGGUAAAUCAACUCGCUCAACGAGUUGAAUUCUGCAGAGACUGCCAGACUAGGGACCGGGAGAGGUGUGGGGUACUCGAGGGGUAGGGGUAAAAUCCUGUCAUCCUUCGAGGACCACCAGUUGCGAAGGCGCCACACUGGAACGGAUCCGACGGUCAGGGACGAAGCCUAGGGGCACGAACCGGAUUAGAUACCCGGGUAGUCCUAGGUGUAAACGCUGUGAACUUGGUGUCGGGGGUCCGCAAGGGGUCCCCGGUGCCGGAGUGAAGAUGUUAAGUUCACUGCCUGGGGAGUACGGUCGCGAGGCUGAAACUU
rnacentral:rRNA from 1 species